rnacentral:rRNA from 1 species
GGACGAACGCUGGCGGCGUGCUUAACCCCUGCAAGUCGAACGGAAAGGCCCUGCUUUUGUGGGGUGCUCGAGUGGCGAACGGGUGAGUAACACGUGAGUAACCUGCCCUUGACUUUGGGAUAACUUCAGGAAACUGGGGCUAAUACCGGAUAGGAGCUCCUGCUGCAUGGUGGGGGUUGGAAAGUUUCGGCGGUUGGGGAUGGACUCGCGGCUUAUCAGCUUGUUGGUGGGGUAGUGGCUUACCAAGGCUUUGACGGGUAGCCGGCCUGAGAGGGUGACCGGCCACAUUGGGACUGAGAAACGGCCCAGACUCCUACGGGAGGCAGCAGUGGGGAAUAUUGCACAAUGGGCGGAAGCCUGAUGCAGCAACGCCGCGUGCGGGAUGACGGCCUUCGGGUUGUAAACCGCUUUCGCCUGUGACGAAGCGUGAGUGACGGUAAUGGGUAAAGAAGCACCGGCUAACUACGUG